UACAGAGGGGGCAAGCGUUGUUCGGAAUUACUGGGCGUAAAGGGCGCGCAGGCGGCCAACUAAGUCAGACGUGAAAUCCCCAGGCUCAACCUGGGAACUGCGUCUGAUACUGGAUGGCUUGAGUUCGGGAGAGGGAAGUGGAAUUCCAGGUGUAGCGGUGAAAUGCGUAGAUAUCUGGAGGAACACCGGUGGCGAAGGCGGCUUCCUGGACCGACACUGACGCUGAGGCGCGAAAGCCAGGGGAGCAAACGGG
rnacentral:rRNA from 1 species